rnacentral:lncRNA from 1 species
GGUUUUGUGUUGUUUUAUAUAUUCUUUGUUAUUUUUUAUUCUAGUUUUUGUUUUUGUUUUGGAAGGUAUUUUAGAGAAAUAAGAUUUCUGUGGUUACCAUGACCUGCUGUUACAGAUUACAUGGUACCCUCUCUUCAUAUGUUGAAGUCCUAGCCACCCCGCCGAACCUCAGAAUGUGACUGUAUUUGGAGAUAGGGUCUUUACAGAGGAAAUCAAGUUAAAAUGAAGUCAUUAGGGCAGGCCCUAAUCCGAUAUGAUCCUGUGUUCUUAGAAGAGGAAAUGUGGACUCAGGUGUGUAUGGAGGGAAGAUGUCUUGCAAGCCCAAGGAGAAGAUGGCCAUCUGAGCCCACGUCCUGGAACAGAGACUUCCCUCACAGCCUCAGAAAGAACCAGCCCUGCUGACGUCUUGAUCUCAGACCUCCAGCCUCCAGAACUGGGAGACGAUUCAGUCAGCAUCUACACAACACAGGGUUGAACUGUGCGGGUCCACUUCUAUGCAGAUUAUUUUCUUUUUUCUUUUUUGAGACAGAGUCUCGCCCGGUUGCUCAGGCUGAAGUGUAGUGGUGUGAUCUUGGCUUACUGCAGCUUCCACCUCCCAGGUGCAAGUGAUUCUCCUGCCUCAGCUUCCCAAGUAGCUGGGACUAUGGGUACUCGCCACCACACCUGGCUAAUUUUUGUAUUUUUAGUAGAGAUGGGGUUUCACCAUGUUGGUCAGGCUGGUCUUGAACUCCUGACCCCAAGUGAUCUGCCUGCCUUGGCCUCCCAGAUUGCUGGGAUUACAGGUGUGAGCCACCGUGCCCGGCCCUAUAUAACUCUUUGUGCAAGUUUUUACCCCUAAAAGAUAUCUGCCAUCUCAGCCAUGGAACAGACACUGUAAGAACAUGAAGGCUCAAGGGCAGGGCUGGCUACAUAAUUUGUGGGACCCAUUACAAAAUGAACAUGGAGAAAAAACUAGAAAAAAGUGUAGUACAAGGUACUAUAAUAGAUUUUUCCUUUGAAAACAGUUUAAUACUUAUAAAAUGUAAUAGAGGGAAAUAGUGACACGUGAGUAACAAAAUGGGCGUAUCAAUUGGUCUAUGCUAUUUUUGGUGUUAUAAUUUUACCUAAUAUAAUAAGCAGCAACACUUUGUUAGUGAGACGGGCUUUCACCAUGUUGGCCAGGCUGGUCUGGAACUCCUGACCUCAGGUGAUCCGCCUGCCUCAGCCUUCCAAAGUGCUGGGAUUACAGGUGUGAGCCUCUGCGCCCGGCUGUGAUGUCUUGAUUGAUCAUAGGAUUUUUCUGGCUAUUCUAGCUACUUCCAAUUCGCUUCAGCCAAUUUAGUUGAAGUUUUAUCACUUGUGACUUCAGAGUCCUGGUUAAUAUCCUGUUGCCCUCAGGACAUGCAGGAUGGAGGAAGGCACCAGGGAGCCGAGGGAAGUGAGCAGAGAGGCAGUCACUUCAGGGCCACCAGCAUAGCCCCCGUCACUGUCCACAGACACAGGCCCUUCCCCUUCUCAUGGUUGAGCAGGCUCCACCUCACUUCCGUGUAUGACUUCAUAGACCGUUAGGUUCCGUGGUACCCUGGAGUCCACAGCUGCUGAAUCUGAAGGGCCAUCAGAAGACUGGCUUCUCCAUGAUGGUUUAUGGACUAAGGCAAAGAUGAGCAGAGCCAUGGCCCUCUUCUUUGUUCUCUGCUGGAUCCAAGAGUCGGGGGUCUCCCUAUGUUUCCCAGGCUGGCCUCGAACUCCUGACCUCAAGUGAUCCUCCCACCUCAGCCUCCCCGAGUGCUGGGAUUAAAGACGUGAGCCACGGCACCUGGCCUGAAUUUUCCUCAAAUUCAAAAAAUCCUGAUGAAGGUUUGGCUAAAAUCUUUGGUGAGUUACCCCACUCCCUGUGGAACCUCAGGCUGGAUUUGAAGAGUUGCGUGCAUGGUCCUCAUUGUCUCCCAGGUAACCUGUUCCCGCUGCUGUGAAGGGAAGGCAGGUGCUCUUCCUUGAGGCUAGAAUCUGUCUACGUGUCACAGUCUCAGGAAAUUAAGCAAAACAGAUGAUAAACACCUCAAAAGGACCCUACUGAGCAUCAGUGGAGCAGAGCAGGGCCAUGUGGGACUGCGGCGUCAGAUGCCACCUCACACUAGCUGUGACACACCUGCCUCGCCAGUUUCUGCUCUGAGGCCCCAAAGCCGAGCUGAACCUCCUCCAGGGGUUCUCAGCCCUAACUGAGCAUGAAAACCCCUGGGGCAAUCCUCUUUUUAACAAUUGAGACAUUCCACACACACCCCACAUCAGAUUUUGGGGUGUGGGGAUAGACCUUCACAUUUGUAGUUUUCUAACCCUCCAGGGGACACUAGGCUGAGACUCAUUGGUCUCCACUCUGAACCUUCCACUGAACAUGUGAGAAAAACUAAGGCCCAGGGAAGUCUUUAGCAGAGAGCUGAGACGGAGAAAAGGGUUCUGAACCACAGCUGUCUGCUGAAGGAAGCUGUCCAAAGGCCAGUGAAGUCUCUCCUGAGGGUGCCUGGGCUGUGCAUCAGGAGUGAAGGUUGAGGGUCACCUUAGGUGUGAGAAGGAGCAACUGGGAGAGUGGCGCUGAUGCUUCCCCCCGGGUUAGGAGGCAUUUGGAUCACAGAGCGAUGCCUGUUCAUUCCUGCUUGCAAGGGAGCAGAUCUCUCGACACCCGAUGGGCCUCUAUUCCGUUCCGGCAGCUGUCCGUGUCAGGAGCGCUGGGCUUGCUCCUCCCCACGGGAGCCAUCACAGAGGCCUCGGGCAGUCUGCAUAGACAACUGCCUGGCAGGUGACCAGGAGGGGAUGCAUGAGCAGAUGCAGGUAGCACUCGCAGUCCCCCUAGCUGUGCCCUCAGCACCUGCUGUCUAGGAGGCAGAAGCCUUGUUCUCGGCCUUGCAGGUGACCCCAGUGUCUCUGAAUUCGGCCCCAUAUGUGUAGGAGGGGAGUGAUUGCAUCUGAAGAUGGGAGUCUGGUUGGGGGUUUGGGAAGCUCCCAUCACCCCUCAAGAGUCCACUGACCAGCCCAGCUCACACCAGGUGGGCCUUGGCACUGGAGGCCACGGCUCAACUCUGCAGUUCCCUCUGGGCAGCAUUUCCAGGGACUCGUAGGUCAGCAUGGUCAUCAAGGACAGGUGGUGAGAGCAGCUCCUCAUUGUCCUGGUGACCCCGAUGGUUCAUUUUCUGGUGUCUCUGUGGUGAGCUCCUGUUACAUCAAGCGAGUGGAAACCACCGAGGACCAACAGCCCUGGAAAUGCACUGAGAAUGCAGGAUGAGUGGGCUUUGUGAGGACUGUUUUCUGUGACUUAGCAAGGAAAGCCUGGAAGGGAAAGUAAAACUGCUUCUUCCCAGGGAAGCCAGAAACCUGAGAACUUAAAAGGGAAGGAGAACUUAAUAUAUUUCAAAAAUGUAACCCUUGUGAAUUAGCAACAGCUUUAUAAACAAAGAGAUUUCCGAGCUUAUAGAAUCUAUUCUGCUUUGUUUCUGCCCCCAUGGCUCCUACCCCUGUUUUUGUGGGUACAAUUUUCAUAUAGAACAUUUUUACACAAGCUUCAAAACUCUCUGAGGACAGCUUUCCCCUUUGUGUCUGUCGGGUCCCAGGCAGUCACAUCCCAGGAAGUGCUGGGGUUGGGCUCCUUGCUCCACAUCCUUCUUCAGUGGCACGAAGCGUGGGGUGGAGUGUGUGAGUCAUGUGUGAUCUUGGUGUGGGCUAUGGCUGGUCUGCAGCACCCCUUCAAUGACUGCUUCAAGGGCUUUUCAUGAUGCUUGUAGCUCAUGAGCUAGUGUUUCCUAGAUGCUGUUUCCAGGUGUCUUGCAUGUCACACACUGGCCUACCAGGGCUGGAGUGAGAUCAUGAGCGCCAGAUUGUUGGUGAAGGAAGUUGACAGAGACAUCGAAUGUCGGUGAACAGGAGUGACCUUGGGUCUCAAUAAAUACUGUGGUCAACUGAAUCCAGAACCCACCCUUACCAGCAGGGCCCACUUCUUCCCCAGCAGGCCGAGCUCUUCCCCUCCUGUCUUCCCUGGCCCUUGCUUUGUAGCUCUGUGUGGCUGUGUCAUGUCUGGUUGUAUCUGUAUAUACUUCUGCCUCUCCCGCUAUCUAGAUGGCUCGGGGAGGCACACCACACACCAGGUCACCUUCCUCUCUGAACCCCCAGCACCUCAUACUGUUUCUGUGCAGAGAUAAGGCUGGGUGAAAGCUUGUGUGAAUGAUCUGAAGUCUUCUACUCUAGGCCAGUCUCCAGGAGCAUUAUGAUCUUUAGGAGGGUGGGCUUGGUUCCUCUGUACAAUAAUGGGUCAUAAAACUGAGUGGUCAAGAUCAUCCCGGUGAGGGCAGUCCGUGUGUUGCCAUAGUUGCUGUACCGGUUAAGAAUGCACCUGGCUGCAAUUUCCUGAAAACCUGACGUAUAGUGGCUUAAACAAAGAGUGGUUUAUUUUCCUUCUGUCAUAGCAAUCUGGGGGAGGCCACUGUGGCUUUGGCGCAGGAGGUCGGGAAAGGCCCGCUUCUCUGAUAUCAUUGGGGGCCUCCCCAGUGCUUGUGUGGCAGAAUGACAAGAGGAAGAAGAAGGAGAAUUAUGGCACUGAGUAUCAUGAGAUUUGGGGUCAUAUAUCUUUAGUGGGCGGUGUUUGCUGCCCCAAAUGUCUCAUGCCAUUAAAAUGUUCUGGAAAUGAUUUAGGUAGUUGGAGUUUCCUUCCCAAAGACAAGGCAUUUACAGCAUGAUGUCCAAUAUCCAUUGAGUUUGUGUCAUGCAUUCAUUGUAUUCAUAGUCUGCUUUAGGUACUUAGCAAAAUAUUGCUGAUAUUAACAUGCCUUUGUUUGCUUCACUGGAGAUGAAAUUGUGCUCCAAGUGUUUUCCAAGGUUCCGUAUGACCCAUCAUUUGAUGAAACAAGAACAGCAGUCAGAUCCAUUACAAAGAGAGACACACAAAAAAACUAUGUGAAAAUGAGCUUAGCCCCUGGUGUUGUGUUGGAACUUCAGAUGCUUGCAGACACUUCAUGAAUGCUCUGUGACACUCAGAAUAGGCUAUUCCCAACAGAAGAGCUUGAACAAUGCUGCAUUUGCAUCAGGUUCAAAUGAGCGAGAGGAACAUUUGGCUAAAAUAUUUGGAACCAGCAUUGCUUGGAAUUCUCCUAAACCAGAAUAUUUCCUUGGCAGUGUGGACAAAAUUCCUGAUAAAGAGAUGGGGUUUCACUGUGUUAGCCAGGAUGGUCUCGAUCUCCUGACCUCAUGAUCCGCCCGCCUCGGCCUCCCAAAGUGCUGGGAUUACAGGCGUGAACCACCAUGCCCGGCCCAGAAUGUCCUUUCUUUUCGAAGCGGAGUAAUAUUCCAUUAUCACCUUUCAGAGGAGAAGAAUUUUAAAGAAUCCUGUCUGUUCGACAGGGAUUUAAGAGAGCAGUUAACUACUAUAGAUAAAGAAACACUUCAAGGAGCAGCUAAACCAGAUGCUCACUUUAGGACUAUGCCCUGCGGGCAGCUUCUGCACUUCCUGCAGAGGAACACCAUCAUCGCCGCCGUCUCAGGGGUGGCCAUCCUCAUGGCCAUCGUGCUGUUGCUGCUUGGGUUGGCCUCAUACAUCAGGAAGAAACAGCCAUCGUGCGUGGUGCUGGCAUAACCUUCCUUCCAAGAACCCGCGGGUGUUAGAACUCACGCUGCCCUCAGGGCUUCCUGCUGAUCUGGUUUACGAGGAGGGCAGAAGCUGCAAGCCUGGUUGUGCUUCAGCAUCCCCUGGCCUGCUCUGUCAAAGCACACAGGACCUGGGCCAUGGGUUUUCGGCACAGCCUGGGUGAUUCUGAUGCACAGCCGGGUUUGGGGAUCCCUGGGUGGGCCAGGGUUGCCUCUCAAGGCCACUACGGUUAGGCCAGACCUGUCCCCAUAUUGAGGGCUCUGGCUGAAAGAUUGGUAAAUAGGAAUAUGGAUUUACAAAAGAAAGGAAAAAUACAAAUCUAAGAGGGUGAGGAGGGCUGAAGCCACGAAGGAGAGUGAGAGCAGGGCUGAUAUUCAGCUCCUUCACAUUGGCACAGCUGUCCUGCUUGUUAGAAUACUGAAAGCCUUCCCCGAGCUUCCCACUGACCUCCUGAUCUUCUCCGUGAUCCUGCAAAUGAAGGAUUAGUGCCUGGCACAGCCGUGGCCCUCCAAGGCUCUGCUUCAGUGGUGGUCAUUUUGACUGGUCAGUGCCUGUCUACACCCCCGUCUACACCAGUUGUUAAAUAUUUUGGUUAGGCCUCUAGAUGAGGGGGCUCAGGCACAGAGGCACUCACCAUGAGCAGGCGCUAGGAAGCAAAUGGUUUGCACGAUGACGUGUAUGCAUAGCUGCAUUUUGAAAUUACGUGCUUCUUGCUGCGUCCCCAGGGACAUGUAUUCCUGACCACAGAAGGAAGAGCAGCUCCCCACAGCCCUUCAGUCCUGCCUGACACUGCACUGAAUGCUCAGCUUGCCCCUAGAGCAAUGGGGUGGAGAUCUCCUCUGGCAAACACGACAUAUAAUAUUUUUAUAAUGGAUGGAAAGACAUGGUGGCACAAUUCUGAAGAAAAAAAUUUCACAAAACUUGCAAAAAAACAGAAACAGUUGAAGAGCAGCUCCUGUGUCUAAGCCAGGUCGUGGGGCCGUCAAACCAGGACUUGAAACCACAAUGCGAGGACAUUCUCCAUCUGCGCACCACAGGGAGGCAAUUCCAUUUCUGCCCGGGAGGUGUAUUCUACAAAAACGUCUGCUUCCCAUCCCAAUUUGAAUGGACCAAGAAAAACUGCUUUACCAUAGGACACUUGUGGCAAUAUGGCACCGAUGGCUGGCGUCGGUGAACCCGACAGACUAUGGAUUUAUCAUUUAAUAAAGCAUUGAUUCAUUUUUUCAGUCAUUCAUUGAACAGAUAUUAAUAGACCACCUCACAUGCUGACAAUAUCAAAAUACAAUGAGGAAACUAACAGUGACCCAGGCAUGCAUUCUUCCCCGAGCAAGAUCACAGUCCAUGGUGUGAGCACAACCAUACUAAAUAGCUUUUAUGGGAGGUGGGAGUACAGAAAGUAUUAUAUCUGCAAAGAAACUGCUAAGAAUUGUGGGAGCGCCCCAGGAGGUGAUUUCCUGCUUGCGUGACCAGCACAAAGAAAUGGGGUAAUUGAGAGUGUCAUGAAGUGGGGUUAUUUAUUUAUUGAGUC